AAAAGGCCAGUGCACCUCAAUGGCCGACAUCCUGUCUCCCAGCAACUGAUGGUCUGGGCUCCUCCUUUGCAAAGGUGCCAACUGAAAGUGUUGGAGAACAAAGGGAUCAGGUGACCUCCUACCCUGGG